rnacentral:rRNA from 1 species
GACGAACGCUGGCGGCGUGCUUAACACAUGCAAGUCGAACGGAAAGGCCCUGCUUUUGUUGGUUGCUCGAGUGGCGAACGGGUGAGUAACACGUGAGUAACCUGCCCUUGACUUUGUGAUAACUUCAGGAAACUGGGGCGAAUACCGGAGAGGAGCUCCUGCUGCAUGGUGGGGGUUGGAAAGUUUCGGCGGUUGGGGAUGGACUCGCGGCUUAUCAGCUUGUUGGUGGGGUAGUGGCUUACCAAGGCUUUGACGGGUAGCCGGCCUGAGAGGGUGACCGGCCACAUUGGGACUGAGAUACGGCCCAGACUCGUACGGGAGGCAGCAGUGGGGAAUAUUGCACAAUGGGCGGAAGCCUGAUGCAGAAACGCAGCGUGCGGGAUGACGGCCUUCGGGUUGUAAACCGCUUUCGCAUGUGACGAAGCGUGAGUGACGGUAAUGGGUAAAGAAGCAACGGCUAACUACGUG